rnacentral:rRNA from 1 species
CGUAGGCGGCAAGCGUUGUCCGGAUUUACUGGGCGUAAAGGGCGUGCAGGCGGUUUGUUAAGUCUAGGGUGAAAGCUCCCGGCUCAACUGGGAGAGGUCCUUGGAUACUGGCGAACUUGAGGGAUGCAGAGGAAAGUGGAAUUCCCGGUGUAGUGGUGAUAUGCGUAGAUAUCGGGAGGAACACCAGUGGCGAAGGCGGCUUUCUGGGCAUUUCCUGACGCUGAGACGCGAAAGCGUGGGGAGCGAACCGGAUUAGAUACCCGGGUAGUCCACGCCGUAAACGAUGGACACUAGGUGUAGGGGGUAUCGACCCCCUCUGUGCCGUAGCUAACGCAAUAAGUGUCCCGCCUGGGGAGUACGGCCGCAAGGCUA